rnacentral:pre_miRNA from 1 species
GCGGGGAGGCCGGAUCCUGGGCUGUGUCCCCGGCACCCUGUGGUCCCAGGCCUCUGCUGUUGGAUUCUCACUCCUGGCUGAGAAGCCCUCU